rnacentral:sRNA from 1 species
GCCAGGCAUGGUGGCGGGUGCCUGUAAUCCCAGCUACUCAGGAGGCUGAGGCAGGAGAAUCUCUUGAACCCAGGAGGCAGAGAUUGCAGUGAGCCAAGAUCAUGCCAUUGCACUCUAGCCUGGGUGACAGAGUGAGACUCUGUCUCAA